UGCCUCUAUGGGACAUCGGAUAAACAUUGGAAUGAUAUAAAGAAGAUCAACAUGGCUCCUGCGAAAGGAUGACACACGUAAAUCUAGAAAUGGUUCAAAUUUUA